UCACACCAAGGAUGAGGCCCACGUCUGCUGACAGGAGAAUAAUAGAAGAGUCUAGAGGGUUACGAAAAGCACUAGAAAGAAAGAAAGAAAAAAACAAAAGAAAGAAGGGAAAAACAAAGCAGUUACGGGAGCAACAGAGAAGGGAGAUUCCGUGGCCAAGAGAGAGAAAUAGCAGCUGGAAAUGGAUAAAAGGAAGGGAAAAAUGCCAGAGAAAGGGAGUCAGCACAGCAGAACCUUGAAUCAAUCCAGGUGUCUCUCAGCCAAGUCUCAGCCAAGUGUUAAAGUAAAAAUUGGUUGAUGAUUAGUGAUAGAUCCUUUUAAAGCCAUGUUAACUUCUACACUUGGGAAUAAUAGUUUGGAAGCCAUCAGAGAGCCUCCAAUAGUCCAUCAAGAUUUGGCAGUGCACCGGAACAAGAGCAUUGAUAAGACACCAAAGUAUACAGCGGCCAAACAGACAAGAUGCAUACGCCGAAGGUAAGAAGAAACAGGGAAAUUUUGAGACAAAUACAACCACAAAAGGCCCAAAGAGAGCAAAGUGAUGGAACCACAUACACCAAAGAAAAGCGCUAGAAACACCAACAAAGGGGAAAAUAUGGCAAAUGCAGCAACGAGAUUUUCUGCAAGUUUUUACCUAUCAGUGAAAAACAAAAAUAGAAUCCAGCAAGUUUUCAAAGAAAAGCAGCAUGUUCCAGUUGUAGAUUGGAUACACCAAAUGAGGGCAGAGAUCUGUCGGAGUUUCAAACUUGUUCAAAAUCGAACCUUGAAAGAAAAUCAUGAAACAGUUCCAUAACUUGGCAGCCUCAAUACAUAAAUGUUGUAAGGUAAAUUCUUCUCGGCAGCCGGUUUUUUAAUCCUACUACGCUCAACUUGUGGCAAACCCGGUCUAAGCCGGGCUGGGGAGCCACGUCACGUAUCAGACGAAAAAACCUCUUUCCUCCUUAAUGAAAACCUCCUUCCUCGUUUCGAAAUUCCCAGAUCGAUAUCCUCCUUGUUCGCCUCUCUCUCUCUCUCUUUCUCUCUCUUCAAUUGUAGAUCCGUUUGUUUUGAGUGGCUAAGCUCUUCAAGCGUACAUUUUCAAGUGUAGAUUCGUUUACUAUAAGUAGAUCAAUGAGAGUAUAAGGACGAUUUUUCUCUGGGGUUAAAGAAAAAUUAGUGUAAAUAUCUCUGCUGGGGUUUAAAGAAAGAUUGUACAAAUUGUUUUUUGUUUCUUCUGGGAGAUUGUAAACACAGAUGAGAACGGGGGAUGUUUCUUGAGGGGGGAGAACCAGCUUGAAGAAAAAUUAUAACAGAUUUUUUUU